GAUGAAGAACGCAGCGAAAUGCGAUAAGUAAUGUGAAUUGCAGAAUUCAGUGAACCAUCGAAUCUUUGAACGCACAUUGCGCCCGCCAGUAUUCUGGCGGGCAUGCCUGUCCGAGCGUCAUUUCAACCCUCGACCUCCCCUUGGGGAGGUCGGCGUUGGGGACCGGCAGCACACCGCCGGCCCUGAAAUGGAGUGGCGGCCCGUCCGCGGCGACCUCUGCGUAGUAAUACAGCUCGCACCGGAACCCCGACGCGGCCACGCCGUAAAACACCCAACUUCUGAACGUUGACCUCGAAUCAGGUAGGACUACCCGCUGAACUUAAGCAUAUCAAUAAGCGGAGGA
rnacentral:misc_RNA from 1 species